AUGCAUUGGAUAUCAUGGGAUAAACUGGCAACACCAAAGGUUCAGGGUGGUAUGGGAUUUAGGGAGUUUCAGAAGUUCAAUCUCGCACUACUUGGCAAGCAUGGCUGGCGACUCCUAACUGACCCAAACUCACUGUGUGUGCGCGUCUUGAAGGGGAAGUACUUCCCAGAUUUAGAUUUUAUGCAAGCCCAUGCACCGUGUCGGCCACUUGGAAGGCUAUCAUGGCGGGACGAUCGGCGCUUGAACUUGGUCUCAUUAAUCGCAUUGGCAAUGACGAAUCAAUUUCUAUUUGGAAUGAUAGAUGGAUACCAUCUACUCCCACCCUCAAACCUGUGGGCCGACAAGGGAAUGAUCCCCUAG
rnacentral:rRNA from 1 species